rnacentral:rRNA from 1 species
GACGAACGCUGGCGGCGUGCCUAAUACAUGCAAGUAGAACGCUGAAGGAGGAGCUUGCUUCUCUGGAUGAGUUGCGAACGGGUGAGUAACGCGUAGGUCACCUGCCUGGUAGCGGGGGAUAACUAUUGGAAACGAUAGCUAAUACCGCCUAAGAGUAGAUGUUGCAUGACAUUUGCUUAAAAGGUGCAAUUGCAUCACUACCAGAUGGACCUGCGUUGUAUUUGCUAGUUGGGGGGGUAACGGCUCACCAAGGCGACGAUACAUAGCCGACCUGGAGAGGAGGAUCACCACAAUGGGACUGGAGCACCGCCCAGACUCCUACGGGGGGCAGCAAGAGGGAAUCUUCGGCAAUGGACGGAAGUCUGACCGAGCAACGCCGCGUGAGGGAAGAAGGUUUUCGGAUCGGAAAGGUCUGUUGUAAGAGAAGAACGAGUAUGAGGGUGGAAAGUUCACACUGUGACGGUAUCUUACCAGAAAGGGACGGCUAACUACGUG